UAGCCAAACGGUUUGUGUUUUACCAAAAAAAAAAAAAAAGAAAAACAACGAGGAGUACCCACACAGUAUCUCUUCUAUACGCAGAUGACAUUGAAACAAAGCUGUUGAUGUUCCAGAUGAUUGGUCUAUAAACAACUUCCCUCUUGCAGCCUCACUCACUGUUCAAAAACCCCUGCGGCAGCGCCCACCAAGAGCUUCAAUUAUUAUAUUUUGCAAAAUAUCUCUGUAAAUUGAUCCUCUUUAUGUGUAGUUAAUCAACGGUUCUGAGGAAUACACGAGAUUUUAAUAAAAUACUCACAAUCUCCAAGCGGAUACGGAUAGGCUGAUUACAACCUCAGUAUUUGAUGACAAAAUAUAAAGAUACUGAAUCAAAUUAAAUACUGCUUCAAAUGUUCAUAAUUGUGGAAAGUUGUUUAUCAUGGUUACGUCGAGGUCUGAAAUUUUCCUACGUCAUUAUUGAAAUACAGGAUGGAAUGCUUCCUAUGAGGCAAAAAAAUUAAAGCGUUAGUUCACUAUCACUGGGUUACAGAUGUUGAUAGACUGAGCCCGGGAGUUUUCUGAUAACGUGAAUGACGUCAUGCUUUGUUACGAGUUCUCUAACAACGUAAAGACGCAUUCCUGCUUAGAGAUAAGACUGGAGUUGUUUUCGUUUAACAGAUGGAAGUGGAACUAAAACAAACAAUGCAAAUUUCAAGUUCAGCUGCGCUGAGUGGGCACAAUGAGUUGUUUACAUACGUGAACCGUUGAUUUCGUGACGUGAGCAGAAAACCCCCUUGAGAGAAUAACCGUAGCGUGAUGGAAUAGAAAGAAUGUCAGUUUGACUGAAGAUCCUGUUGUAUGACACUUUUUUGAGGUUUAAAACACGAAGUAAAUCGAGGCAAUUGGGACAUAUCAGCUGAGGGUAUCUUGAAACUGUCUAGGAGAAGCUGACCGUUGGAGCUUUGCUGAGCCGUAUUCCUGAAUAGAUAGAGGAAGACUGUGUCUGGAUUUUAUUCUUUUGCUGAUUAAGGUAAUUAAAGAGCAUGAACGCCCGACUUAAAGCCAAGAUAUCAAAUCGACGGAGCUUUGUGGAAAGGAAGAAAGCUGUUUGCGAUGAGACAAGAUUUCUUAUAAUCUCUGGAAACAGUCCCGAGGCCGCUGAACAGAAACAACUAUUUGAUCCAAGUUGCUUGAGCUCGAUGGUUCUAGAUCUUCAGUCUGUGAAAGGCUCAAGCUCAAUUGUACAGAAUCAGUGUUUUGCAACAACUCGAGCGCCGACUGAAGUGAAGUGUAAACCAGGAUCUCGUGACACAUGCGGCAGUUAUCCGCAUGUCCUUGCAGCUGUUAGUGGCGAAGUAAAGUGUUGGCUUCCAAGCCCGUUACUGAUGAAGCGUCGAAACGCGAUUUGCGAUGAGAUCGAAAAAAGAACAAUAGCUAUGUCGGGUAGAACUUUAAGGCAAAAGAGAGUUGAUAUGCUUCGCUCCAUUGCGCUGACACAAUUCUCUUUGUUAUGAAUAUUUUUCUACUAAUUCAAUGUCAAAGAUUCAUCAAUUUCGCUUUUAUGUUUCAUGUUAUACAAAAUUCUUAGUCUGAAGCAUAACUUGCACUAGAAAAAGUGUUGAGAUCGAUUUUGCGUAUACGCUCUCUAUUCAACUCCCUCCAAAAAAUUAAGACAAUCCUAGUUCAUAAUCCCUUAACUAUACGGAUUUCAGUUUACAAGGUAGACGUGCAGGGCGGUUACUUUACAUAAGGAUUCUUAAGGCCCCUGUCUUCUAGAAAAUACGUUUUUAAUUCAAACAAUGUAUCUCAGCAAAAUUUGUUCCGACCUGUAAUAAUAUGUAAUUGACUAAUACAAGUUACAUUAUCAUUGUUUAUAAUAUCCAGUGUUGUUACCAAACGGGAUGAAUCAAAGCUCUUCAGUGGAAGUCGGGUGAUUUUUCAAACAGCAUUCUCUAAAUUUCGUGUCUUAACUCGAUGAAUUCCCUAGGAGUUGAAAAAUGCUGGAAAAAUCGAUCUGUAUUUUGUUUGGGUGUAAAUGAUCAUCUUUGACCUCUUUGGCGUCAAUCACAAUGCCGUGGGCAGUUUAACUGAUACAGUAAUGGUGACUCAUUGACCAAAACCGAAAAUAUGUGAAUUUUGAUAAAAGAACCGAAUACUGGUAUUGAAAAGUAAUUUGAUUUGCCGUGUGAUAGAGAAAGUAUUCCUCAAAGGCGAUUAAACCUCCAGCGUGGUGUGGCUGUACAAUAGUGUUAUUAGGUUUGCAAUACGUACAUAUUCAAGCACAACUAUUCUCAAAGCCCUUUAGAGUUGAUGCAAUCAAUGCUACGCGAUGAAUUCACCCUUAUGUAGCAGAUUAAAAGCUGUGAUUUGAUUAAAAGCGGUUUGGAUUUACGGGGGCAACCCAGCGUCUAAUAAAAAUUUAUAAUUAUACGUGAUUUGAAUGAAUACACAGAUAAAUACUACGAAAUCACCACUUUCGGAGAGUAAUACAUAUUAAAUGUCUCAGGAUCA
rnacentral:lncRNA from 1 species